GAGCCUGCUCUGCAUUGCAGUGGAAUCCAUUUGCUCAGGGACACUAAUAGACUGGAUUCAGAAGUGGGCCCUGAAUUUCCGUGAAAGGGAUGAGGGGCACUAGGGAAGGAGGCAGCUGGGAAGGACUGAAGUUUAGAUAGAAUUUAAAUAAAAUAGACUUCAAAGAAAAUGUUCUUCCUCUGACCUCCACCUCUGCUAAAAGCUGCACGAAGUAAAUGAGAUAAGAGGGAACCAAGUCCUGCAGUGAAAAGCAGUUUGGGGAAAAUGCAGAAGACAUUUGGGAAUGAAAGCGUCUGUUGGUGAAGAUCUGAAUCUUACUUUAUGGAAAGGAGGUUAAUUUUCCUCAUACUUACGACUUUGACACUUACACAUCUUUCAGCUAUUUCAGACAUCUAUUCCUGUUAAAGGAUGCACUGGCCCUAUUUUUGGAAGCCGGAUGACGCAGACGAAAGACUUUUUUUCUAGAUCAUGCCUUCAGCAAGGAUCUUUGAUCUUCUACAAGCGUGGCACCCAUUCAUUAUUUUAUUUAUAUGACCUCCUUCUCAACAUUCCUCUUCACACAUACUCUGUGAACAACUCUGUUAUUCCAUGUAAGUGAAUUAAAAUACAAUUUUACCAAGUGUCCUCAUUAGGGAUUUUUAUAAAUGUCCUGGGGAUUUGCAAAAUCAGUGAUCCAGUGACUUUAGAUUUAAGUCUGCAACACUGUCUCCUGACAGCCUUUCCAAAGAGGGCAGGAGGUAAUCGAUGCAAACUCUGUGGAAAUUUGGUUAACAAAACUAACCCAGAGCAGCGUUUAACCCAUGUUCAACAAGGAAGAUCUAAGCCUUUGUAUUUUUACUGGAAAACUAGUUUGGAAUGUAGCCAACAAAAUUUAAAUAUGGAUUAUUAAACAUAAACCUGCUUUGGGAUUUUGCUUGGCUUCAUCCUCACUUAAUGGCAAUCAGCUGAGUUACACUGUAUAGUUGCUGUUGUUUAGUGGCUAAGUUGUGUCCAGCUUUUUCGGGAUCCCAGGGACUGUAGCCCACUAAGCUACUCUAUCCAUGGGAUUUCCCCAGGCAAGACUAUUGGAGUAGGUUACUAUUUCCUUCUCCAGAGGAUCCUCCCAAGCCAGGGAAUGAACCCAGGUCUCCUGCAUCGGCAGGUAGAUUCUUUACCACUGAACAACCAGGGAAGCCCUUGCGUUAUUGGGUAAUGACUAACCCUAAACACUCAACCAGGCUGGGAGUAGGACAUCAGGCUCUGGUAGUGAGAGCUAGAUGGCGCUAUAGUGUAAUUGUCAGUUGCCCAGUUGCUAUUUGGUCAAAUAGUAGCAGUUCAGUUUAGUUCAGUCAGAUCAGUGGU
rnacentral:lncRNA from 1 species